UACAGAGGUCUCAAGCGUUGUUCGGAUUCAUUGGGCGUAAAGGGUGCGUAGGCGGCGCGGUAAGUCGGGUGUGAAAUCUCGGAGCUUAACUCCGAAACUGCAUUCGAUACUGCCGUGCUUGAGGACUGGAGAGGAGACUGGAAUUUACGGUGUAGCAGUGAAAUGCGUAGAUAUCGUAAGGAAGACCAGUGGCGAAGGCGGGUCUCUGGACAGUUCCUGACGCUGAGGCACGAAGGCUAGGGGAGCAAACGGG
rnacentral:rRNA from 1 species